rnacentral:rRNA from 1 species
UGCUGGAGGUAUCAGAAGUGCGAAUGCUGACAUAAGUAACGAUAAAGCGGGUGAAAAGCCCGCUCGCCGGAAGACCAAAGGGUUCCUGUCCAACGUUAAUCGGGGCAGGGUGAGUCGACCCCUAAGGCGAGGCCGAAAGGCGUAGUCGAUGGGAAACAGGUUAAUAUUCCUGUACUUGGUGUUACUGCGAAGGGGGACGGAGAAGGCUAUGUUAGCCGGGCGACGGUUGUCCCGGUUUAAGCAUGUAGGCUGGUUAUCCAGGCAAAUCCGGAUAAUCAAGGCUGAGGUGUGAUGACGAGGCACUACGGUGCUGAAGUAACAAAUGCCCUGCUUCCAGGAAAAGCCUCUAAGCAUCAGGUAACAUCAAAUCGUACCCCAAACCGACACAGGUGGUCAGGUAGAGAAUACCAAG